rnacentral:rRNA from 1 species
AGCGAACGCUGGCGGCAGGCCUAACACAUGCAAGUCGAGCGGAUGAAGAGAGCUUGCUCUCUGAUUUAGCGGCGGACGGGUGAGUAAUGCCUAGGAAUCUGCCUGGUAGCGGGGGAUAACGUCCGGAAACGGGCACUAAUACCGCAUACGUCCUACGGGAGAAAGCAGGGGACCCUCGGGCCUUGCGCUAUCAGAUGAGCCUAGGUCGGAUUAGCUAGUUGGUGAGGUAAUGGCUCACCAAGGCUACGAUCCGUAACUGGUCUGAGAGGAUGAUCAGUCAAAAUGGAACGGAGACACGGUCCAGACUCCUACGGGAGGCAGCAGUGGGGAAUAUUGGACAAUGGGCGAAAGCCUGAUCCAGCCAUGCCGCGUGUGUGAAGAAGGUCUUCGGAUUGUAAAGCACUUUAAGUUGGGAGGAAGGGCAGUAAGUGAAUACCUUGCUGUUUUGACGUUACCGACAGAAUAAGCACCGGCUAACUUCGUGCCAGCCGCCGCCGUAAAAC